rnacentral:lncRNA from 1 species
UGAAGUAUUUAUUGCUUGAAUCAGAAUUCUCAAGAUUAGGCAGGUUUUUGCCAUCCAUCUUGGUCAAUAUCGACGCUUUUUCAGAUAAUGCCUUCCGCAUAAGGUCCUUUCCAGUUUGACAUACACUUUCCUAUGAAGUCCUUUUGCAUGGGAAGGAUCUUCCUCGAUAUUAGGUCCCCUCAUGGAAUUCUCUAGGGUGAACCUUUUUUGGU